rnacentral:rRNA from 1 species
GUGGGGAAUAUUGGACAAUGGGCGAAAGCCUGAUCCAGCCAUGCCGCGUGUGUGAAGAAGGUCUUCGGAUUGUAAAGCACUUUAAGUUGGGAGGAAGGGUAGUAACCUAAUACGUUGCUACUUUGACGUUACCGACAGAAUAAGCACCGGCUAACUUCGUGCCAGCAGCCGCGGUAAUACGAAGGGUGCAAGCGUUAAUCGGAAUUACUGGGCGUAAAGCGCGCGUAGGUGGUUCAGUAAGUUGGAAGUGAAAUCCCCGGGCUCAACCUGGGAACUGCUUUCAAAACUGCUGAGCUAGAGUACGGUAGAGGGUGGUGGAAUUUCCUGUGUAGCGGUGAAAUGCGUAGAUAUAGGAAGGAACACCAGUGGCGAAGGCGACUACCUGGACUGAUACUGACGCUGAGGCGCGAAAGCGUGGGGAGCAAACAGGAUUAGAUACCCUUGUAGUCC